GGGGGACGGAGAAGGCUAUGUUGGCCGGGCGACGGUUGUCCCGGUUUAAGCGUGUAGGUGUGUGUUCCAGGUAAAUCCGGUUCACUUUAACACUGAGGCGUGACGACGAGGCACUACGGUGCUGAAGCAACAAAUGCCCUGCUUCCAGGAAAAGCCUCUAAGCAUCAGGUAACACGAAAUCGUACCCCAAACCGACACAGGUGGUCAGGUAGAGAAUACCAAGGCGCUUGAGAGAACUCGGGUGAAGGAACUAGGCAAAAUGGUGCCGUAACUUCGGGAGAAGGCACGCUGACACGUAGGUGAAGUGAUUUACUCACGGAGCUGAAGUCAGUCGAAGAUACCAGCUGGCUGCAACUGUUUAUUAAAAACACAGCACUGUGCAAACACGAAAGUGGACGUAUACGGUGUGACGCCUGCCCGGUGCCGGAAGGUUAAUUGAUGGGGUCAGCGUAAGCGAAGCUCCUGAUCGAAGCCCCGGUAAACGGCGGCCGUAACUAUAACGGUCCUAAGGUAGCGAAAUUCCUUGUCGGGUAAGUUCCGACCUGCACGAAUGGCGUAAUGAUGGCCAGGCUGUCUCCACCCGAGACUCAGUGAAAUUGAACUCGCUGUGAAGAUGCAGUGUACCCGCGGCAAGACGGAAAGACCCCGUGAACCUUUACUAUAGCUUGACACUGAACAUUGAGCCUUGAUGUGUAGGAUAGGUGGGAGGCUUUGAAGUGUGGACGCCAGUCUGCAUGGAGCCGACCUUGAAAUACCACCCUUUAAUGUUUGAUGUUCUAACGUGGACCCGUAAUCCGGGUUGCGGACAGUGUCUGGUGGGUAGUUUGACUGGGGCGGUCUCCUCCUAAAGAGUAACGGAGGAGCACGAAGGUUGGCUAAUCCUGGUCGGACAUCAGGAGGUUAGUGCAAUGGCAUAAGCCAGCUUGACUGCGAGCGUGACGGCGCGAGCAGGUGCGAAAGCAGGUCAUAGUGAUCCGGUGGUUCUGAAUGGAAGGGCCAUCGCUCAACGGAUAAAAGGUACUCCGGGGAUAACAGGCUGAUACCGCCCAAGAGUUCAUAUCGACGGCGGUGUUUGGCACCUCGAUGUCGGCUCAUCACAUCCUGGGGCUGAAGUAGGUCCCAAGGGUAUGGCUGUUCGCCAUUUAAAGUGGUACGCGAGCUGGGUUUAGAACGUCGUGAGACAGUUCGGUCCCUAUCUGCCGUGGGCGCUGGAGAACUGAGGGGGGCUGCUCCUAGUACGAGAGGACCGGAGUGGACGCAUCACUGGUGUUCGGGUUGUCAUGCCAAUGGCACUGCCCGGUAGCUAAAUGCGGAAGAGAUAAGUGCUGAAAGCAUCUAAGCACGAAACUUGCCCCGAGAUGAGUUCUCCCUGAGACUUAGAGUCUCCUGAAGGAACGUUGAAGACGACGACGUUGAUAGGCCGGGUGUGUAAGCGCAGCGAUGCGUUGAGCUAACCGGUACUAAUGAACCGUGAGGCUUAACCUUACAACGCCGAAG
rnacentral:rRNA from 1 species